rnacentral:rRNA from 1 species
UACAGAGGUCUCAAGCGUUGUUCGGAUUCAUUGGGCGUAAAGGGUGUGUAGGUGGCGCGGUAAGUCGGGUGUGAAAUCUCGGGGCUUAACUCCGAAACUGCAUUCGAUACUGCCGUGCUUGAGGACUGGAGAGGAGACUGGAAUUUACGGUGUAGCGGUGAAAUGCGUAGAUAUCGUAAGGAAGACCAGUGGCGAAGGCGGGUCUCUGGACAGUUCCUGACGCUGAGGCACGAAGGUCAGGGGAGCAAACGGGG